UCAAUAAAUCACAACUUCUGAGCUUCUCCUUCUUCUUCUUCUCUUCCCCCUCAGGUCUGGCGUGCAGGACCGGGGAGGGACACAUAAAACAGGCUUCAGUCAGAGGAGAUGAGCCCUCGCUGCGCUCCUGAACAAUCAUUUCCCGGAGGGGAAAAACGGUUUCUUUGGGUUUAACAUGCAGCUGAUGGCUCACUUGAUUACCUCCAGCUCUCUUCACUUCCGUCCUGCUGUUUCCCUCCACUCACUCUCUCUCUCUCUCUCUCUCUCUCUCUCUCUCUCUCUCUCUCUCUCUCUCUCUCUCUCUCUCUGCGACGCUCUUGUUGCUUUCCAUCCUCGUUUGACCCUAUCGAUUUGCCCCAACCCCGGCUACCGCACACUUGCCUUUUCUUAUUUGUUUGCAGAGUUAAUCUGCAACACAGCUCUGACCCAUCGUCCUAACAAUGAAGUGGAAACAAGUGGCAAUGGCUGACUGGAAAGAAUUGCAAUAGUGUUUCAAUUGGUCUGCAGCGAGGAAGGGUCACGAGGACGUAACAUCCUCAGAACAACAGACACUCAACAAUCUGUCCUGCAACUUUUAUUCCAGCUUUGAUUUGGUAAUCAAGUUUUCUCAUUUCCCCAACACUGUUGAAGGAACAGCAGGUUCUUAUAGAGUUCACAUCAGCUGUAAAUGCAACCUAUCAUAUCCACACCAUAACUUUGAAAUGAUGUAACUUUGAAAUGAUGUCUCGGAAUAAUGAAAAUAAAAGCAUCAUAAGUGUGAUGAACAUUUAAAAACAGGAUAUGUUGGGCUUAAGGCGGUCACAUACAAGAAUGUCACGUCACGGUCAUUGUGGUCAAAAUGGUUCAUGCUAACAAUGUUAUAACUACAUGUUUUGAAACUUGGGGGAAAGUUAUCAGUUCAGCAUAAAGAUGGAAAUAAUCUGUUUUUGUGGUUUGAGGUUUUAACAGUUUGUGUCCAGAUAAGGUAACAUCAGCCACAUUCAUUCUACAUAAGUCAAAGCUAAUGCGUUAGUCACACAUUGACGCAAAUUUCUUCUUAAGCCACUGAUGCUCGAUUAACGCACACAAAUUAUGUGAUCUUUAAUAAGCAUUGUAUGUCUCUGAUAUGACCCUCAAAAUCUGGCAGUUGUAUUUUAACUGCAGUACCAACCGGCACCACAGGGGAGCCUCUAUUCUGUUUUGUUCUCAUGAGACCCCAUGUUGUUAUUUUCUGACUCUCAUCUGUGACGAGUUGGUGCAUGUUAAACAUACAGUAUGUUCUACUGCUCGUGUAUGAUUAGUGAACAUUAGCGCUGUUGAGACUGUGGCUAUGUUGGAAUGUUUCAGUGAAUUAAAGUAAUUGCAGUCUUACUAAAGAAAGAACUUACUAGAGCAGAGGUCAAGGGAAGGCUUCACUGACUAGAAACAAAAGGUACAGGGUUGCUUGUGGGAUAGUAGGGAAUGUUGGACCUAGGUUAGAUGAUGCACAUGAGAAGAACAAUAUGAAGAAGAAUAAAGCUCUCUGAUUCAA